GGGAAGGAGCUGAGGCUUGACACUGUAAGAGGCCAGGAGAGUCCACUGGUGAAGGUUCAGCUUCAGUGUCAGUUGAUCAUUGAGGACUGAAAGGGAUGUGGCAAAGAAGUUGAGGCUUAGCACCUUGAAGAACAUCUAUGAGAGAUGACUAGUUAAAGUUCAGCCCAUGUGCACCAGAAGACAUCAUUAUUUUGGAUAGAUGCAAGUACCAUGGGGGUAACCACCAAGACCUUAAGAAGCAGUGGAGUGGAGUCAGCCUAGAAGAAAAGCUUUGUGUGCUACAGAGGGUAGAGCUGGAGAAAUGACACAAAAUUCUCCAGUCUUCUUUGGAGAGACCCAGAAGAUUGUGUUGAUCCCAGACUUAGGACAUUGAGUUAAUUAUACUGAAAAAGCCUAGUUUUGUUUGGCUCAGAUUAUGACUGUGCCCUGGUUCUUUCUUCUUAAAGAAGGUUCCAGUCCUGCUUGAGUCCUGUCCUGACAGCCUCUAUUGAUCAACUAUGUUCUGGAAGUGUAAGCAGGUAAAUGAAGCCUUUCCUCCACUUUUUGGACAUGGUAUUUAGUUCCAGUGCAUGUACCUUGUUCUGUCAUACCACAGUGUUGACUCAUCUCAAGCAUACAGUUCUACGGGAAUGACCUUUGGACUGCAGUUCUACAAUGUUGACCUUUCCUCUGCAGUUUCACGGUGAUGACUUUGGGUCUGCAUUUUUAAGACCUUGGAUCUAUAACAGCAAAGUGUUCACCACAGAUUAACAUGGACAACCUUUGAGCAUCUUCAUGACAAUGGUGCUAUAUGUAUGAAAACGUCUGAAAGAAAAUGUCAUUUCUACAUUUUGUUCUUCCAGCAGCUUUGCCAACUUUAUGCUUACCCUUUGAAUUUCAUUCUUCCUUCUUUCCAUGUUUAAUUAUAGUUUUUAUUUAGAAAAACAUAGCUUCUGAUUAUGUUCUACACUGACACUUAGAGAAGUUUGGUCCAGUUCAUCAUCUCUCAGCUAUCCCUGCAAUUCUUCCUUCUAGGAUCCUUGUAGUCAUCCCAUACAACAACAUUUGCUCACUGAUUUUUAUUGUUUGUUUUUGCUUUUUUUAAUCAGGCAGAGUCCAAUUUCCUGAAACUUCUCAUUUGAUUUCCUAGUACAUAUAUAUGGUCCAGUUAAUCCUAACCUCAUGAUCAUGGCAAACUAAGGUUAUUUUCUGGCUCACUACUUAAAUUAAUGCCUCUAUUUUCCUUUUCCCAACUUUGUCUCAGUACAUCUAAAACCAUCAAAGAGACAAUAUAUUGUAAUGUCAGUGAUUAAGGAGAGAGCUUAUUCUGCAAUGAAAGGACUGCAAAGCUACAUUAUCUCCAUUGAGUCUAUUCAACUUUAUUUCUCAGUAUCUGUAUCUGGUAUAAGGAUACAAUAAAACCUAAUACAUAGGACUGUUGUGAAAAUUAAGUAUAAUAGUUCAUGAAAAAUAUGUAAUAAACACUAUUUG
ensembl:antisense Gm20642 predicted gene 20642